rnacentral:rRNA from 1 species
CCUACGGGUGGCAGCAGUGAGGAAUAUUGGUCAAUGGCCGGAAGGCUGAACCAGCCAUGCCGCGUGAAGGUCAGUGCCCUAUGGGCGUUAAACUUCUUUUGUGCGGGAGCAAUAAUGGUCACGUGUGGCCAGACGAGAGUACCGUACGAAUAAGCAUCGGCUAACUCCGUGCCAGCAGCCGCGGUAAUACGGGGGAUGCAAGCGUUAUCCGGAUUUAUUGGGUUUAAAGGGUGCGUAGGCUGUGAGGUAAGUCAGCGGGGAAAUGCCCCCGCUCAACGGGGUGAAGUGCCAUUGAUACUGGCUUGCUGGAAUGCGGAUGACGUGGGAGGAAUGUGUGGUGUAGCGGUGAAAUGCAUAGAUAUAAGGAAGAACACCAGUGGCGAAGGCGGAUGACUGGACGGCAACUGACGGUGAGGCACGAAGGCCAGGGGAGCGAAAGGGAUUAGAUACCCGGGUAGUC